ensembl:lncRNA
CUUUUUCUGGAGAUCACUUCCUGGUGAAGCUUUCUCCUGUGAACCUAGAGUCUUCUGAUAAUAGCACAUGGUAUGCUUUAAGGUAAGUUAGCCAAGAAAGCAGUGUAGACAAACUGAGAUCAAGCAAACAGUAUGAAGAAGCCAGCACAGAGCAUCAUGAUCCAAUGCAGGGGAACUCCAGCUGCUGGGUUAAUUAUUGUUAUUUAGUCACAUGCCAGAAAGCAUGUGAUUAAUUACAGUGAGAAAAUGCACUGCCCUUCAUUGACUUAAAAGAAUUCCACCUGCCAAGAAGAAAGAUGAAAUCUGUGAAGUUAAUAAGCUGAAACAUUAAAAAGGAAGAGAGAUAAUAGUUGAUAGUGGUUCUGCAGCAGGUGAAGCUUUCCAAUUGCAUGCAGCCCUGCCAAGGUCCCAUCAGAGAGCAGGAAAAUCCUGGCACCCAAGCACGGGGAAUAUCACUUUUGUUCUGGCUGAAGUCCUCUAACAGUGCCUUGACAGAGCUUUGCAGAAGUGUGGGAGCACAGAGUUAUUUCUGAAGCCCGGGGUUUGUCUGCGGUGUGUAGAUGUGUGCCUGGCUGGCGUGCUGUGACAUGAGCUUCUUCCUGAUGGGCUCUUUGCCUUCAGGUGUGGUGAUGCACACAACUUCCUGCUGUCAGCUGCUCUGCGUUCAGCAGGAGCCCCAGGUCUGACCCGCUCUGUCUGGGGCAUGCAUCAAGCAUGAUGCUGAAAGGGCAGAUGACUCAGAUCACGGUUUGGGUAAGGUGCUGCUCAGCUUGGCAGAGGCUCUGCUGUUUACAGGUAGAGAUUCAACUAUGCUCUAUGUGGCAUACAGCUGCCAAGGUCAAUAUUGCAUGUGCACAUUUGUCUCUGCUCUUUCCUGCUUGUACUUAAGCAAGUAUCUAGUGAGCUCUUCUGUAGCAAGGACACAGAAUUUCUGGUUUUUACACUGUGUGGUGUAGCCAAAGAUGUUUGUUCCUGUAACAUUAUCCCAGGACAUCCAUACAGAAGGGAUCACUCAGCCAAGACAAUUGAAAAGUAAAUAAACAGUAGAAAUGCUGCUUACAAAGCUGGGAAAUCAGAAACAGCAGUUUUCUUGUUCAGCAUCACAGCGUUCCCUAUUCCCAGCAUUGCAGCAGAGAACACUUCCUAGAGUGUGGGAUUUUCUCCUUCACCAGUAAUGGUGAAAGGCUGCAGUGUGUAGGCACAUCUCUCAUGCUGGGCCGCCCUAACACAAUCAGGAUAUGUUAGCAUGUGCCAAAGAAGAGGGCAUGUCCUCUCUUUUCUGAUGCUCUCCUCCUCUUCUAGCUCACCCUGAGAAAGCUGCUGCUUUUUCUCCACUUACACCACUUUCAUCCUGUUGCAG